rnacentral:rRNA from 1 species
UACGGGGGGGGUAAGCGUUGUUCGGAAUUACUGGGCGUAAAGGGUGCGUAGGUGGCGUGGUAAGUUUGAUGUGAAAGCUCAGGGCUUAACCCUGAAAUGGCAUUGAAUACUACUGUGCUGGAGGUUUGGAGGGGGGACUGGAAUUCUUGGUGUAGCAGUGAAAUGCGUAGAUAUCAAGAGGAACACCAGUGGCGAAGGCGAGUCCCUGGACAACACCUGACACUGAGGCACGAAAGCUAGGGGAGCAAACAGG